CCUACGGGAGGCAGCAGUGAGGAAUAUUGGUCAAUGGGCGGGAGCCUGAACCAGCCAAGUCGCGUGAGGGAAGACGGUCCUAUGGAUUGUAAACCUCUUUAGGCGGGGAGCAAUGCCGGGCACGCGUGCCCGGAGGGAGAGUACCCGCAGAAUAGGCAUGGGCUAACUACGUGCCAGCAGCCGCGGUAAUCCGUAGGGGGCAAGCGUUAUCCGGAUUUACGGGGUGUAAAGGGGGCGCAGACGGCAGCGUAAGCCAGGAGUGAAAGCCCGGGGCCCAACCCCGGGACUGCUGUUGAUACUGGGCGGCUUGAGUGCAGGAGGGGUAGGCGGAAUUCCUGGUGUAGCGGUGAAAUGCGUAGAUAUUAGGAGGAACACCGGUGGCGAAGGCGGCUUACUGGACUGUAACUGACGUUGAGGCUCGAAAGCGUGGGGAGCAAACAGGAUUAGAUACCCGAGUAGUC
rnacentral:rRNA from 1 species